GAAAAAGGCAGGACAGAAGAACA
rnacentral:piRNA from 1 species